AUAAGUGACUGAGUCUCCUUGUCUUCAGCAAUCAACUCGAAUGUUUUAUCCCAAACAGGAUUGAGGUUGUUCUCAACAACAUUUGAUUUAACCUUGAAUACCGGCCGAAUAUAUAAAACUACGUAGGGAUCAGAUUUUCCAAUCAUUUCCAUGUUCUUCAACUCAUUUGCUUUCACUACAGUCACUGUAAGCUUUCCUUGUGGUUUAAGCUCCAAUUCACUUGUAUCAACAGGUACACCACCAAUUGGAACAACAAUCCUGUGAGGCCAUUGAAGCAUAUCUGUGACAAUUGAAUGCACAGUGUCAUCAAUCAUAUCUGAUAGUCCAGGAAUGGCUGUUAAGCUUCCACCAACAGCUUUCAAAACGUAAUCAAUUUUAGGCUUUGGCUCAGAAAGUAGAGCCACAACAACAGCAGAAAUACAUGGUAUCUCCUCAGCAAGUUGGAAGAUAACCCGAAUAACAGUAUAAACUUCAAGGUCUUUCAACUGAAUGGGUAUAGAAGCAACAAGUGCAGCUUCAACACCUAAAAUGAUACUAGGAUCACCGCCCCAUCGGAAAUCAAUAUCCAUAGUUAUUUGACCCUUCUUAAGACUCUGAACACGAAUACCUUCAAUCUUGGGUGGCACAGUUCCAAGAGAAAAUUUGUUAAACUUUAAUGAUGUAAUCCCUGGUGGUCGAUAGUCUUCCAAUAAUGGUUCAACAGAUUCCUUAACCACCAUUGUAGCUGCGUCUGCAAUGAAUGGCCAUAAUUUGCUCAAUUGCUUGUUCAGCCAUUUCACCUGCUCAAAGGCAGGAAAUGAUAUCCAUUCAGGAAAAUUAUCACCACAUAUUUUCUUCAAAUCAUCCCUGUUUAGGGACCCAAGAAGUUUUAUAUCAACUGCCUUGGCAACUCGCUUGGUGCUUCUAUACCUCAUCAUGUGCUUCCAACCCGCCAUCACCGCGAUCCCAAAGAUUAUCCCCAGAAAGAUCCCAGAAAUCAGUCCCAUUUUCCCAAGGAAAAUAAGACAGAAUUCUCAGUGAAAUAGAAGAAUGUGUAGAAGGAGAGAGAGAUGAGGAAAUUAAUAAUUAGGGAUCAGUCUUAAGAGAGGGGGAAACGAAGGUAUGAGUAAAUGCUUUACGCUGUGCACAAAAGACUAGGAAUUAAAAAUCUAGAGUUUCUCUCUCUAAAAAGAAAGAAUCGCUUUUCUCGCUCUAAAAGUCUCCAUCGAACAUUUGUGGUGGUGUGAGAUUUGCUUCGCAAGAUUGGAAAGAAAAACGAAAAAGCAUAGAAACAAGGGGUCGCGUAGGCCAGAGGAGAG
rnacentral:misc_RNA from 1 species